rnacentral:misc_RNA from 1 species
AGCUGUUCCCCUCUGGAGGUUCAAGAUCUCCACACUUCAUGGGCCGCGGUCUUCCGUCGGCCCUUUCUUUUUGCCCCA